rnacentral:rRNA from 1 species
GACGUAGGGGGCGAGCGUUGUCCGGAUUUAUUGGGCGUAAAGCGCGCGUAGGCGGUCCGGUAAGUCGGGUGUGAAAAUCCGGGGCUCAACCCCGGACCUGCAUUCGAUACUGCCGGGCUGGAGGCAGGUAGGGGAGAGUGGAAUUCCUGGUGUAGCGGUGAAAUGCGCAGAUAUCAGGAAGAACACCCGUGGCGAAGGCGGCUCUCUGGGACGGUACUGACGCUGAGACGCGAAAGCGUGGGGAGCGA